rnacentral:rRNA from 1 species
GGUUUCCCUUUACGAAUUGUAGUUUAAAGAAGUGUUUUCUGUUGAGGUUUUGGUAAAAGUUCUUUGGAAUAGGACAUCAUAGAGGGUGAGAAUCCCGUAUUUGACCUUUACUUUCAACUUUGUGAUACACUUUCAAAGAGUCGGAUUGUUUGGGAAUGCAGUCCAAAAUGGGUGGUAAAUUUCAUCUAAAGCUAAAUAUUGGCGAGAGACCGAUAGCGAACAAGUACCGUGAGGGAAAGAUGAAAAGAACUUUGAAAAGAGAGUUAAACAGUACGUGAAAUUGUCAAAAGGGAAGCGUUUGACACCAGUGUUGUUUUUCUGAAAAUCAAUUAAAGAACUGUUUAUGCUAAGUUGUUUAGACUUUAUCAGCUAACUGUUUAGUUUUGAGCUUUUCUUU